GGUGUUAGAUGCAUUUAGCGGAUUCCUUCAGCGAUGCCUAAACCAAGCAGCUAGGAGCUCAGUGACCUGCUUAAGAAGACUUCAGCAGGACACAUGGAUGUAGACGGACACACUCUUUGCUUUAUUGCUGGCGUGGGAAAGGGACCAGCCACUGACACAACACCUCCAUCACCUUAAGCAAGGUUGUGGUUUUGAACACGUGACCUGGCACACUCAGCCAUAAAAGCCAGUGUUCAGCCCUGCCAGGUUCACACUGUUGGUCAGGAUGAGGGGGCUGAUAGCAAUCACCGCGCUGUUUGUGGCCGUUCUCGGCAAGGAGACGUUUGAGGGGCAUCAGGUGCUUCGCAUUGUAGCAAAGGA